rnacentral:ncRNA from 1 species
CGACCUCAGGUCAGGCAAGACAACCCGCUGAGUUUAAGCAUAUCACUAAGCGGAGGAAAAGAAACUAACAAGGAUUUCCCUAGUAGCGGCGAGCGAAACGGAAAGAGCCCAGCUUGGAAAUCGGGGUGUCUCUGCACCCCGAAUUGUAGUCUGGAGAAGGGUCCUCUGCAGCGGACCGGGUUUAAGUCCCUUGGAACGGGACGCCAGAGAGGGUGAGAGCCCCGUCUAGCCCGGACCCUGCUGCAUCACGAGGCUCUUUCGGCGAGUCGGGCUGUUUGGGAAUGCAGCCUUAAGUGGGUGGUAAAUUCCAUCCAAGGCUAAAUACUGGUGAGAGACCGAUAGCGCACAAGUACCGCGAGGGAAAGAUGAAAAGGACUUUGAAAAGAGAGUUAAAAAGUGCUUGAAAUUGCUGGGAGGGAAGCGAAUGGAUGCCUUGUGCGCCCCUUGGUUGUGUGUGGAACGGCGAGAGCUGGUCUGCCAAGCAAUGCAAGGGGCUGUCCAGCAUGGGAGGACGCGGCGGGAUAACGGCUUGUGAGCCUCUGGCUCCCUGCCAAUGCCGCCGCUGCCUCUGAAAAUGGUGGGGUGCUCCGGUGCCCCGCCAGAUGCUGGAACUUGGGCGUUCCAUCCGACCCGUCUUGAAACACGGACCAAGGAGUCUAACAUGUAUGCGAGUCUGUGGGUGCUAAACCCGUACAGGCGAAAGGAAACUAAUUCGUGGGAUCCCCUUCGGGGGUGCACCACGGACCGACCUUGAUCUUUUGAGAAGGGUUUAAGUGUUAGCAUACCUGCUGGGACCCGAAAGAUGGUGAACUAUGCCUGAGCAGGGCGAAGCCAGAGGAAACUCUGGUAGAGGCUCGUAGCGAUACUGACGUGCAAAUCGUUCGUCAGACUUGGGUAUAGGGGCGAAAGACUAAUCGAACCAUCUAGUAGCUGGUACCCUCCGAAGUUUCCCUCAGGAUAGCUGGAGCUCUUGCUGAGUUUUAUCGGGUAAAGCGAAUGAUUAGAGGCAUCGGGGGUGAAACACCCUCGACCUAUUCUCAAACUUUAAAUAGGUAAAGCAGCCGGGGUUGCUCUGUUGAGCCCCGGCCGUGAAUGCGAGCUCCAAGUGGGCCAUUUUUGGUAAGCAGAACUGGCGAUGCGGGAUGAACCGAAGCCGGGCUAC